rnacentral:rRNA from 1 species
GACGAACGCUGGCGGCGUGCUUAACACAUGCAAGUCGAACGGAAAGGCCCUGCUUUUGUGGGGUGCUCGAGUGGCGAACGGGUGAGUAACACGUGAGUAACCUGCCCUUGACUUUGGGAUAACUUCAGGAAACUGGGGCUAAUACCGGAUAGGAGCUCCUGCUGCAUGGUGGGGGUUGGAAAGUUUCGGCGGUUGGGGAUGGACUCGCGGCUUAUCAGCUUGUUGGUGGGGUAGUGGCUUACCAAGGCUUUGACGGGUAGCCGGCCUGAGAGGGUGACCGGCCACAUUGGGACUGAGAUACGGCCCAGACUCCUACGGGAGGCAGCAGUGGGGAAUAUUGCACAAUGGGCGGAAGCCUGACGCAGCAACGCCGCGUGCGGGAUGACGGCCUUCGGGUUGUAAACCGCUUUCGCCUGAGACGAAGCGUGAGUGACGGUAAUGGGUAAAGAAGCACCGGCUAACUACGUG